rnacentral:rRNA from 1 species
UACGUAGGGUGCAAGCGUUAAUCGGAAUUACCGGGCGUAAAGCGUGCGCAGGCGGUUAUGUAAGACAGAUGUGAAAUCCCCGGGCUCAACCUGGGAACUGCGUUUGUGACUGCAUAGCUAGAGUACGGUAGAGGGGGAUGGAAUUCCGCGUGUAGCAGUGAAAUGCGUAGAUAUGCGGAGGAACACCGAUGGCGAAGGCAAUCCCCUGGACCUGUACUGACGCUCAUGCACGAAAGCGUGGGGAGCAAACAGG